GUGGGGAAUAUUGCACAAUGGGGGAAACCCUGAUGCAGCGACGCCGCGUGAGUGAAGAAGUAUUUCGGUACGUAAAGCUCUAUCAGCAAGGAAGAAAAUGACGGUACUUGACUAAGAAGCCCCGGCUAACUACGUGCCAGCAGCCGCGGUAAUACGUAGGGGGCAAGCGUUAUCCGGAUUUACUGGGUGUAAAGGGAGCGUAGACGGUAUGGUAAGUCAGAUGUGAAAGCCCGGGGCUCAACCCCGGGACUGCAUUUGAAACUAUCAGACUGGAGUGCAGGAGAGGUAAGUGGAAUUCCUAGUGUAGCGGUGAAAUGCGUAGAUAUUAGGAGGAACACCAGUGGCGAAGGCGGCUUACUGGACUGUAACUGACGUUGAGGCUCGAAAGCGUGGGGAGCAAACAGGAUUAGAUACCCUUGUAGUCC
rnacentral:rRNA from 1 species